rnacentral:rRNA from 1 species
AACGAACGCUGGCGGCAUGCCUAACACAUGCGAGUCGAACGAGACCUUCGGGUCUAGUGGCGCACGGGUGCGUAACGCGUGGGAACCUGCCCUUAGGUUCGGAAUAACUCCCCGAAAGGGGUGCUAAUACCGGAUAAUGUCUUCGGACCAAAGAUUUAUCGCCUUUGGAUGGGCCCGCGUUGGAUUAGCUAGUUGGUAGGGUAAAAGCCUACCAAGGCGACGAUCCAUAGCUGGUCUGAGAGGAUGAUCAGCCACACUGGGACUGAGACACGGCCCAGACUCCUACGGGAGGCAGCAGUGGGGAAUAUUGGACAAUGGGCGAAAGCCUGAUCCAGCAAUGCCGCGUGAGUGAUGAAGGCCUUAGGGUUGUAAAGCUCUUUUAUCCGGGAUGAUAAUGACAGUACCGGGAGAAUAAGCUCCGGCUAACUCCGUG